CGUACACUCCUGCGGGAGGCAGCAGUGGGGAAUAUUGCACAAUGGGCGCAAGCCUGAUGCAGCCAUGCCGCGUGUAUGAAGAAGGCCUUCGGGUUGUAAAGUACUUUCAGCGGGGAGGAAGGCGAUAAGGUUAAUAACCUUGUCGAUUGACGUUACCCGCAGAAGAAGCACCGGCUAACUCCGUGCCAGCAGCCGCGGUAAUACGGAGGGUGCAAGCGUUAAUCGGAAUUACUGGGCGUAAAGCGCACGCAGGCGGUCUGUCAAGUCGGAUGUGAAAUCCCCGGGCUCAACCUGGGAACUGCAUUCGAAACUGGCAGGCUAGAGUCUUGUAGAGGGGGGUAGAAUUCCAGGUGUAGCGGUGAAAUGCGUAGAGAUCUGGAGGAAUACCGGUGGCGAAGGCGGCCCCCUGGACAAAGACUGACGCUCAGGUGCGAAAGCGUGGGGAGCAAACAGGAUUAGAAACCCGAGUAGUCCC
rnacentral:rRNA from 1 species